CUGGAGUCUCUGCAAACAUUUGCAGAACAAGUACAUCAACAGGUUUUUGGCUCAGGAUGAAGUCCUGUGUACUUUUCUUCUUCUUCUUGGUGUCUCUGAUUUCCUCCAACACUGCUUCCCCUCCACCUGGCAUCAAACUGCAAAUCACGGAAAAUGCGAAGGAUGUCUUGAAGGAUCUUGGUCUGAUGUACUUAAAGGGGCUGGUUAACAAGGAGUUCCCCAUAGAUAAAAUAUAUAUACCAAUCAGAAG